UGUUCCUACGGGAGGCAGCAGUGGGGGAUAUUGCACAAUGGGGGGAACCCUGAUGCAGCGACGCCGCGUGGGUGAAGAAGCGCCUCGGCGCGUAAAGCCCUGUCAGCAGGGAAGAAAAUGACGGUACCUGAAGAAGAAGCCCCGGCUAACUACGUGCCAGCAGCCGCGGUAAUACGUAGGGGGCAAGCGUUAUCCGGAUUUACUGGGUGUAAAGGGGGCGCAGACGGCGAGGCAAGCCAGGAGGGAAAGCCCGGGGGCCAACCCCGGGCGUGCCCUUGGAACUGCGUGGCUGGAGUGCGGGAGGG
rnacentral:rRNA from 1 species